rnacentral:rRNA from 1 species
UCACCUGAGAGAUCAGGUUUCCCCUUCGGGGGCAAAAUGACAGGUGGUGCAUGGUUGUCGUCAGCUCGUGUCGUGAGAUGUUGGGUUAAGUCCCGCAACGAGCGCAACCCUUAUGACUAGUUGCCAGCAUUUAGUUGGGCACUCUAGUAAGACUGCCGGUGACAAACCGGAGGAAGGUGGGGAUGACGUCAAAUCAUCAUGCCCCUUAUGACCUGGGCUACACACGUGCUACAAUGGAUGGUACAACGAGUUGCGAGACCGCGAGGUCAAGCUAAUCUCUUAAAGCCAUUCUCAGUUCGGACUGUAGGCUGCAACUCGCCUACACGAAGUCGGAAUCGCUAGUAAUCGCGGAUCAGCACGCCGCGGUGAAUACGUUCCCGGGCCUUGUACACACCGCCCGUCACACCAUGAGAGUUUGUAACACCCGAAGCCGGUGGCGUAACCCUUUUAGGGAGCGAGCCGUCUAAGGUGGGACAAAUGAUUAGGGUGAAGUCGUAACAAGGUAGCCGUAGGAGAACCU